rnacentral:rRNA from 1 species
UACGAAGGGGCUAGCGUUGUUCGGAAUUACUGGGCGUAAAGCGCACGUAGGCGGAUAUUUAAGUUAGGGGUGAAAUCCCAGGGCUCAACCCUGGAAUUGCCUUUAAUACUGGGUAUCUCGAGUCCGAGAGAGGUGAGGUGGAAUUCCGAGUGUAGAGGUGAAAUUCGUAGAUAUUCGGAGGAACACCAGUGGCGAAGGCGGCUCACUGGCUCGGUACUGACGCUGAGGUGCGAAAGCGUGGGGAGCAACAGGG